rnacentral:rRNA from 1 species
AACGAACGCUGGCGGCGUGCCUAACACAUGCAAGUCGAACGUGAUUGGAAGCUUGCUUCCAUGAAAGUGGCGCACGGGUGAGUAACGCGUAGAUAAUCUGCCUGGUGAUCCGGGAUAACACUUCGAAAGGGGUGCUAAUACCUGAUAAGCCCACGGUGUCUUCGGACAUUGCGGGAAAAGGGGGGGACCUUCGGGCCUUCUGUCACCAGAUGAGUCUGCGUACCAUUAGCUAGUUGGUAGGGUAAAGGCCUACCAAGGCUACGAUGGUUAGCUGGUCUGAGAGGAUGAUCAGCCACACUGGAACUGAGACACGGUCCAGACUCCUACGGGAGGCAGCAGUGGGGAAUUUUGCGCAAUGGGGAAAACCCUGACGCAGCAACGCCGCGUGAGUGAUGAAGGCCCUUGGGUCGUAAAGCUCUGACAGAGGGAAAGAAAUGUGGGUGGCUAAUAUCCAUACCACUUGACGGUACCCUCAAAGGAAGCACCGGCUAACUCCGUGCCAGCCGCCGCGGUAAGAC